GGAGAGAUGCUGGAGCGGCUGAACGAACCCGUCUCGAAAACUGGAGUAGGGCAACGCUACCGGGGAGAAUCCCCCUCUCUCCACCA
rnacentral:tRNA from 1 species